UUUUCACACAUCUGGGCUCUUAUUCUCUAAACGUUGGUAGCCGUAAGAAUUCUUAACUUGGUCGUAGCCAAUGUGUUAAAAAUGGGCUUAAGAAGUUCGUAGGACUACGAACGUUUCG
rnacentral:lncRNA from 1 species